rnacentral:tRNA from 2 species
GGGCCGUUAGCUCAAUUGGCAGAGCAGUGGACUUUUAAUCCUCGGGUUCCGGGUUCGAGCCCCGGGCGGCCCACCA